rnacentral:rRNA from 1 species
UACGGGGGGGAGCAAGCGUUGUUCGGAUUUACUGGGCGUAAAGGGCGCGUAGGCGGCGCGGUAAGUCGGGUGUGAAAUCUCGGAGCUUAACUCCGAAACUGCAUUCGAUACUGCCGUGCUUGAGGACUGGAGAGGAGACUGGAAUUUACGGUGUAGCGGUGAAAUGCGUAGAUAUCGUAAGGAAGACCAGUGGCGAAGGCGGGUCUCUGGACAGUUCCUGACGCUGAGGCACGAAGGUCAGGGGAGCAAACGGG